rnacentral:rRNA from 1 species
GAUGAACGCUGGCGGCGUGCCUAAUACAUGCAAGUCGAGCGAACGGACGAGAAGCUUGCUUCUCUGAUGUUAGCGGCGGACGGGUGAGUAACACGUGGAUAACCUACCUAUAAGACUGGGAUAACUUCAGGAAACCGGAGCUAAUACCGGAUGAUAUUUUGAACCGCAUGGUUCAAAAGUGAAAGACGGUCUUGCUGUCACUUAUAGAUGGAUCCGCGCUGCAUUAGCUAGUUGGUAAGGUAACGGCUUACCAAGGCAACGAUGCAUAGCCGACCUGAGAGAGUGAUCGGCCACACUGGAGCUGAGACACGGUCCAGACUCCUACGGGAGGCAGCAGUAGGGAAUCUUCCGCAAUGGGCGAAAGCCUGACGGAACAACGCCGCGUGAGUGAUGAAGGUCUUCGGAUCGUAAAACUCUGUUAUUAGGGAAGAACAUAUGUGUAAGUAACUGUGCACAUCUUGAUGGUACCUAAUCAGAAAGCCACGGCUAACUACGUG